GGUUGCUCCAUCUGUGGCUGAGGUCCUUCUGUUGUCAUUGAAACUGGAGUAUUAGGUGCAGCACGAGCUGACCCUUCGUAACUGCUGUAUGGAAAUACAAGCCUCAUGUCUUUACAAGGCUGAGUGAAGCCAGCCACCGUUGGCAGAUUUCUCUUCUGUCUUGAUGCUACAACGUGUGGCGGAAAUUUUCCCGACAAAACGUCGAAUUUAUCAUCAGAUACCAUGAGAUGAAUGAACUGUUCAAGUUUUCUCACGCAUUUCCAGGCCCGUUGUAAAGCAAGGACAACUCCUCUGUAUAAAAAGCGUGUUCACACGGAGGCUUCAUAUGUACAACAGUUCUUUUAUUUUGUUUAUUGAUUGAUUAUA